AUUGAACGCUGGCGGCAGGCCUAACACAUGCAAGUCGAGCGGAUGAAGGGAGCUUGCUCCUGGAUUCAGCGGCGGACGGGUGAGUAAUGCCUAGGAAUCUGCCUGGUAGUGGGGGAUAACGUCCGGAAACGGGCGCUAAUACCGCAUACGUCCUGAGGGAGAAAGUGGGGGAUCUUCGGACCUCACGCUAUCAGAUGAGCCUAGGUCGGAUUAGCUAGUUGGUGGGGUAAAGGCCUACCAAGGCGACGAUCCGUAACUGGUCUGAGAGGAUGAUCAGUCACAGUGAAAGUGAGAGUAGGGCCAGACUCCGAGGGGGGCGAGCGGGGGGUAAUUUUGAACAAUGGGGGAAGGCCUAAUCUAGCAAUGCCGCGUGUGUGAAGAAGGUUUUCGGAUUGUAAAGCAUUUUAAUUUGGGAGGAAGGGAAAUAUGUUAAUGCCUGCGUUUUUUGACGUUACCAAAAAAGAAGGCGCCGGCUAACUUCGUG
rnacentral:rRNA from 1 species